CUCAUCCAUUCACCAUCACUGCUGCUAGUACCAUUACUACUACCACCAUCGUCUCUCCACUAUCCAUAAAAACCACCACAUCAAUAUUAAACUUUUCUCUAAAUUUUGAAUCAUCUAAAUCUCGCAAAACCAAACUCGGAAAAAAAAUUAUACAUUGUAUCUAUUAAAUCGCAAGACCAAACUCUGCCAUUUUGUUAUUGUUAAAGUUAUCUAUGUGAUCGAAGAAGCCAUAAAGAGGCCAAAGCCGCCGCAAUAGAGGCCUUUCAUGGGUUCAUCACUUUUGAUGAGAAGAAAGCGACGGAAGAAGACGCCUAUUUGGUAGUGCAGGAGAGUGCUUUAAGUGCGAUAAGCCUGGACAAAGAUGAGGGCGCUUGGGUGAACGGGCAAAAAGUGGUGGAUAUGGGGGUAGAAAUGAGAAGUAUAUUAGCGGUGGUGGAGGUGAGGGUGGUCGUAUGGUCUUGAUCCAAAUGGAGUUUGAUUUGGUGGGCAUAACAAGGAAUUCUAGCUGAGGAACUGGAGAAUAGGUGUUGCUGUAUGAAUUAUUGAAGGUUUUUGUUUUUGUUUCUUAAUUAUUUUAUGUUAGUGCUAAGAAAUCUUGAUGGUCAUCUCGUUGAAUGCUAUCUUGAUUUCCAUCCUACUAGAUUAAUUAUAUAUGUUAAUGCUAAGAAAAGAACUCCUUACAGAUAGCUUUCGAUGGUAGUAAUGGUGGUUGGAGGCGAUUGUUUGCAAUGUGAAGGAGAGAGAAAUGAGAAUGAUUUUAUUUUUGUUUUUUAUUGCAGUA